AUGCCAAGUGCCGAAUGAACAGAACAAGUAAUCAAGUGAUCCAUCCUCUGUCGAACAUUCCCAGCUUUGGGCAAACAAAGGCUAGGGACACCACCCCUGC